rnacentral:rRNA from 1 species
AGAGUUUGAUCAUGGCUCAGAACGAACGCUGGCGGCGUGCCUAAGGCAUGCAAGUCGUGCGGAAAGGCUCCUUCGGGAGCACUCGAGCGGGNNNGGGUGAGUAACGCGUGGGUAAUCUGCCUUCGGGCUCGGGACAACUCCGGGAAACUGGAGCUAAUACCGGAUAAGACCACGGGACCCUCGGGUCCUGCGGAAAAAGGUGGCCUCUGCUUGCAAGCUACUGCCCGUUGAUGAACCUGCGUCCCAUUAGCUAGUUGGUGGGGUAACGGCCUACCAAGGCGACGAUGGGUAGCUGGUCUGAGAGGAUGAUCAGCCACCACUGGAACUGAGACACGGUCCAGACUCCUACGGGAGGCAGCAGUCGGGAAUUUUGGGCAAUGGGCGAAAGCCUGACCCAGCAACGCCGCGUGAGGGAUGAAGGCCCUCGGGUCGUAAACCUCUGUCGGGAGGGGAGAACGGUCGCGACGCGAAUAGCUUCGCGGCCUGACGGUACCUCCUAAGGAAGCACCGGCUAACUCCGUGCCAGCAGCCGCGGUAAUACGGAGGGUGCAAGCGUUGUUCGGAAUCAUUGGGCGUAAAGCGCGUGUAGGCGGCUUGGCAAGUCGGGUGUGAAAUCCCGGGGCUCAACCCCGGAACUGCAUUCGAAACUGCCUCGCUAGAGUCCCGGAGAGGAAGGCGGAAUUCCCGGUGUAGAGGUGAAAUUCGUAGAUAUCGGGAGGAACACCAGCGGCGAAGGCGGCCUUCUGGACGGUGACUGACGCUGAGNNNCGAAAGCGUGGGGAGCAAACAGGAUUAGAUACCCUAGUAGUCC